GAUGAACGCUGGCGGCGUGCCUAAUACAUGCAAGUCGAGCGAACAGAUGAGGAGCUUGCUCCUCUGACGUUAGCGGCGGACGGGUGAGUAACACGUGGAUAACCUACCUAUAAGACUGGGAUAACUUCGGGAAACCGGAGCUAAUACCGGAUAAUAUAUUGAACCGCAUGGUUCAAUAGUGAAAGACGGCUUUGCUGUCACUUAUAGAUGGAUCCGCGCCGCAUUAGCUAGUUGGUAAGGUAACGGCUUACCAAGGCGACGAUGCGUAGCCGACCUGAGAGGGUGAUCGGCCACACUGGAACUGAGACACGGUCCAGACUCCUACGGGAGGCAGCAGUAGGGAAUCUUCCGCAAUGGGCGAAAGCCUGACGCAGCAACACCGCGUGAGUGAUGAGGGUCUUCGGAUCGUAAAGCUCUGUUAUUAGGGAAGAACAGAUGUGUAAGUAACUAUGCACGUCUUGACGGUACCUAAUCAGAAAGCCACGGCUAACUACGUG
rnacentral:rRNA from 1 species